UACGUAGGGGGCAAGCGUUGUCCGGAAUCAUUGGGCGUAAAGCGCGUGUAGGCGGCCCGGUAAGUCCGCUGUGAAAGUCGGGGGCUCAACCCUCGAAUGCCGGUGGAUACUGUCGGGCUAGAGUGCGGGAGAGGCGAGUGGAAUUCCUGGUGUAGCGGUGAAAUGCGCAGAUAUCAGGAGGAACACCAAUUGCGAAGGCAGCUCGCUGGAACGUAACUGACGCUGAACGGCGAAAGCUAGGGGAGCAAACGGG
rnacentral:rRNA from 1 species